rnacentral:rRNA from 1 species
GACUAACCUACCCUCGAGUGUGGAAUAACAUCGGGAAACCGAUGCUAAUACCGCAUAAUAUCGCGAGAUCAAAGCAGCAAAUGCGCUUGAGGGAGGGGGUCGCGGCUGAUUAGCUAGUUGGGCGGGGUAACGGCCCACCAAGGCGAAGAUCGGUAGCCGGCCUGAGAGGGCGCACGGCCACACUGGAACUGAAACACGGUCCAG